AAUUCAAUGGGAAAUUCAUUUGACAGUGAUGAUGAUGAUGAGAUUAAUUCAGCUUGUUGUGAUCCUCCUGGACAUCCAAGUGUUUUCGACAUUGAUGAAGAUUUUGUCACUCUGUCUCUGUUGGACCAAACCAAGAAAUGAUGGUUUUAAGAAGAUUAUAGGAUAUGUCAUAGAAUACGAAGACCCCACCACUGGAGGCAGGCUAAUGACUACCCAGUAGAUGAGUGUGUUUAUGAGGUGUAGGGAUUAAAAAAGGACAAGGAAUACAACUUCCACAUACGGGCCAAGAAUCUUGAAGGUUUUAGUGAGUCUAGUGAUGUGAUUGGUCCCAUAACCCCCAUUUCAAAUACACCAAGGUUUUGCCACCUGGUGUACCAGAGGCUGUCAACAAUUCUAUAACUUAUCUGAAAUGGGAACCACCUAAGCAUAAUGGUGGCUGUAAAAUUACAGACUACCUUGUGGAAGAGAGGUUUAAGGGAGCAGAGAUGUGGUUUAAGUGUAAUGAGUACCCCUGCACUGACCUCUCUUUACUGUCACCGAUCUUCCUCAGGACUCAGAGUGGGAGUUAAGAGUUACAGCUGUUAACUUUGCUGGAAACUGUGAGCCCAGUCUGUGCUCACCAGCAUACAAAAUCCAGGAGAAGAUUGAGUCUUUUGCAAUUGAGCAGGAUGAGGAAUCACACCAAUCAUUUGUAAAUGAAAGCAGCAGUCAUGAUGUUGUCAAUGAGAAUGAAUUUUAAAUAGGAUAUGAUACAGGGGCACUUUUAAGUGAUGAAGCAGACGAGUAUGAUGAUGGUAAUGAUGAUGAAUCAUACCAUCCUUCAAGCGAUGAAAAAAGCUGUGAUGAAGAUACCAUUAAUGAUCUUGAUAUGCCCAGUAAGCCUCUCAAAUCUGAAAUGCAGCAGAAACAAGCUGCACUUGCAAGUGACAGUGAAAAGGACAGUGAAUGUGAAGAUGAUCAUGAUGAUGUCAGCAAAGUUUUACCACAGUCAGAGAAGCGAAAGACCAGUUUUUUA